rnacentral:rRNA from 1 species
GACGAACGCUGGCGGCGUGCCUAAUACAUGCAAGUAGAACGCUGAAGGAGGAGCUUGCUUCUCUGGAUGAGUUGCGAACGGGUGAGUAACGCGUAGGUAACCUGCCUGGUAGCGGGGGAUAACUAUUGGAAACGAUAGCUAAUACCGCAUAAGAGUAGAUGUUGCAUGACAUUUGCUUAAAAGGUGCAAUUGCAUCACUACCAGAUGGACCUGCGUUGUAUUAGCUAGUUGGUGGGGUAACGGCUCACCAAGGCGACGAUACAUAGCCGACCUGAGAGGGUGAUCGGCCACACUGGGACUGAGACACGGCCCAGACUCCUACGGGAGGCAGCAGUAGGGAAUCUUCGGCAAUGGACGGAAGUCUGACCGAGCAACGCCGCGUGAGUGAAGAAGGUUUUCGGAUCGUAAAGCUCUGUUGUAAGAGAAGAACGAGUGUGAGAGUGGAAAGUUCACACUGUGACGGUAUCUUACCAGAAAGGGACGGCUAACUACGUGCCAGCAGCCGCGGUAAUACGUAGGUCCCGAGCGUUGUCCGGAUUUAUUGGGCGUAAAGCGAGCGCAGGCGGUUAGAUAAGUCUGAAGUUAAAGGCUGUGGCUUAACCAUAGUACGCUUUGGAAACUGUUUAACUUGAGUGCAAGAGGGGAGAGUGGAAUUCCAUGUGUAGCGGUGAAAUGCGUAGAUAUAUGGAGGAACACCGGUGGCGAAAGCGGCUCUCUGGCUUGUAGCUGACGCUGAGGCUCGAAAGCGUGGGGAGCAAACAGG